UUGGAGGGCAAGUUCUGGUGCCAGCAGCCGCGGUAAUUCCAGCUCCAAUAGCGUAUAUUAAAGUUGUUGCAGUUAAAAAGCUCGUAGUUGAAUUUCGGGGUCAGUAGGUUGGUCGUGCCACCGGUACGUACUGGUCUCACUGAUUCCUCCUUCCUGAUGAGCUGUAAUGCCAUUAAUUUGGUGUUGCAGGGAAUCUGGACUGUUACUUUGAAAAAAUUAGAGUGUUUAAAGCAGGCUAACGCUUGAAUACAUUAGCAUGGAAUAAUGAAAUAGGACGUUCGAUCCUAUUUUGUUGGUUUCUAGGAUUGACGUAAUGAUUAAUAGGGAUAGUUGGGGGCAUUAGUAUUCAAUUGUCAGAGGUGAAAUUCUUGGAUUUAUUGAAGACUAACUACUGCGAAAGCAUUUGCCAAGGAUGUUUUCAUUAAUCAAGAACGAAAGUUAGGGGAUCGAAGACGAUCAGAUACCGUCGUAGUCUUAACCAUAAACUAUGCCGACUAGGGAUCGGAUGAUGUUAAUUUUAUAAUGACUCAUUCGGCGCCUUACGGGAAAC
rnacentral:rRNA from 1 species